rnacentral:misc_RNA from 1 species
GCGGGGGUGGUGGGGGAUGAGGAUAGGCAGAGGGAGGAGGAGCGGGAGCGAUGUGGUCGGAGUGAGGAGAAGCCGCCCACUGCUGAGGAGGAGGAGGAGGAGGAGAUGGAGAGUGCGAAGAUGGUGGUGGUGGUGGUGGCGGUGGUGGUGGGUGGUACUGGAAUUGGUUGGAGUACCAUGUGGAUUGUGGAGGAACGGGAGGCCUUCCCUGGUGGUGGAGAUAGUGGUGGGGAUCUGCAGACGACGGAGGCAGCGGUGGAGUUGGCGGUGGUCUCAUGUAUCUAUGCUGCUGUUGGUAAGCAUCCAUGUUGGCCUCUGCGCGUGCGGGUUUUGAUCUAUACAAGUAGAAAAAAGAAGGGUUUGGGUCUUUAAGGGAGAUUUUCCGUUUAGGUGUUACGAACGACGGGAACGCAUUGUAGUCCAGGUGAGGCCUAUCUCUGC